CCUACGGGAGGCAGCAGUAAGGAAUAUUGGACAAUGGACGCAAGUCUGAUCCAGCCAUGCCGCGUGAAGGAUUAAGGCCCUCUGGGUUGUAAACUUCUUUUAUAGGGGACGAAAAAAGGGCUUUCUAGCUCGACUGACGGUACCCUAUGAAUAAGCACCGGCUAACUCCGUGCCAGCAGCCGCGGUAAUACGGAGGGUGCAAGCGUUAUCCGGAUUCACUGGGUUUAAAGGGUGCGUAGGCGGGCAGUUAAGUCAGUGGUGAAAUCUCUGGGCUCAACCCGGAAACUGCCAUUGAUACUAUCUGUCUUGAAUAUUGUGGAGGUGAGCGGAAUAUGUCAUGUAGCGGUGAAAUGCUUAGAUAUGACAUAGAACACCGAUUGCGUAGGCAGCUCGCUACACAUAUAUUGACGCUGAGGCACGAAAGCGUGGGGAUCAAACAGGAUUAGAUACCCUGGUAGUCCACGCCCUAAACUAUGAUUACUCGACAUAUGCGAUACACUGUAUGUGUCUGAGCGAAAGCAUUAAGUAAUCCACCCUGGGAAGUACGACCGCAAGGUUGAAACGUUCAAAUGAAUUGACGG
rnacentral:rRNA from 1 species